rnacentral:tRNA from 1 species
GCCGCAUUAGCUCAGUGGAUAGAGCGCCUGGCUACGGACCAGGAGGUCGGGAGUUCGAAUCUCUCAUGUGGUG